UAAGAAUAUUCCGCAAUGGACGGAAGUCUGACGGAGCGACGCCGCGUGGAUGAUGAAGGCCGAAAGGUUGUAAAGUUCUUUUGCUGGGGAAGAAUAAGCCUAGGAGGGAAUGCCUAGGUGAUGACAUGAACCGGCGAAUAAGCCCCGGCCAACUACGUGCCAGCAGCCGCGGUAACACGUAGGGGGCGAGCGUUGUUCGGAAUUACUGGGCGUAAAGGGCAUGUAGGCGGUCUGGUAAGCCUGGCGUGAAAGACUGCAGCUUAACUGCAGGGAUGCGCUGGGAACUGCUGGGCUUGAGUGACGGAGAGGGAGCUGGAAUUCCUGGUGUAGGGGUGAAAUCUGUAGAUAUCAGGAAGAACACCGAUGGCGAAGGCAAGCUCCUGGCCGAUGACUGACGCUGAGGUGCGAAAGUGUGGGGAUCAAAC
rnacentral:rRNA from 1 species